GACGAACGCUGGCGGCGUGCUUAACACAUGCAAGUCGAACGGAAAGGCCCUGCUUUUGUGGGGUGCUCGAGUGGCGAACGGGUGAGUAACACGUGAGUAACCUGCCCUUGACUUUGGGAUAACUUCAGGAAACUGGGGCUAAUACUGGAUAGGAGCUCCUGCUGCAUGGUGGGGGUUGGAAAGUUUCGGCGGUUGGGGAUGGACUCGCGGCUUAUCAGCUUGUUGGUGGGGUAGUGGCUUACCAAGGCUUUGACGGGUAGCCGGCCUGAGAGGGUGACCGGCCACAUUGGGACUGAGAUACGGCCCAGACUCCUACGGGAGGCAGCAGUGGGGAAUAUUGCACAAUGGGCGGAAGCCUGAUGCAGCAACGCCGCGUGCGGGAUGACGGCCUUCGGGUUGUAAACCGCUUUCGCCUGUGACGAAGCGUGAGUGACGGUAAUGGGUAAAGAAGCACCGGCUAACUACGUGCCAGCAGCCGCGGUGAUACGUAGGGUGCGAGCGUUGUCCGGAUUUAUUGGGCGUAAAGGGCUCGUAGGUGGUUGAUCGCGUCGGAAGUGUAAUCUUGGGGCUUAACCCUGAGCGUGCUUUCGAUACGGGUUGACUUGAGGAAGGUAGGGGAGAAUGGAAUUCCUGGUGGAGCGGUGGAAUGCGCAGAUAUCAGGAGGAACACCAGUGGCGAAGGCGGUUCUCUGGGCCUUUCCUGACGCUGAGGAGCGAAAGCGUGGGGAGCGAACAGGCUUAGAUACCCUGGUAGUCCACGCUGUAAACGGUGGGUACUAGGUGUGGGGUCCAUUCCACGGGUUCCGUGCCGUAGCUAACGCUUUAAGUACCCCGCCUGGGGAGUACGGCCGCAAGGCUAAAACUCAAAGGAAUUGACGGGGCCCCGCACAAGCGGCGGAGCAUGCGGAUUAGUUCGAUGCAACGCGUAGAACCUUACCUGGGUUUGACAUGGAUCGGGAGCGCUCAGAGAUGGGUGUGCCUCUUUUGGGGUCGGUUCACAGGUGGUGCAUGGCUGUCGUCAGCUCGUGUCGUGAGAUGUUGGGUUAAGUCCCGCAACGAGCGCAACCCUUGUUCACUGUUGCCAGCACGUUAUGGUGGGGACUCAGUGGAGACCGCCGGGGUCAACUCGGAGGAAGGUGGGGAUGACGUCAAGUCAUCAUGCCCCUUAUGUCCAGGGCUUCACGCAUGCUACAAUGGCUGGUACAGAGAGUGGCGAGCCUGUGAGGGUGAGCGAAUCUCGGAAAGCCGGUCUCAGUUCGGAUUGGGGUCUGCAACUCGACCUCAUGAAGUCGGAGUCGCUAGUAAUCGCAGAUCAGCAACGCUGCGGUGAAUACGUUCCCGGG
rnacentral:rRNA from 1 species